rnacentral:rRNA from 1 species
AACGAACGCUGGCGGCGUGCUUAACACAUGCGAGUCGAACGCGAACGGGUUCUUCGGGACCUUAGUAGAGUGGCGCACGGGUGAGUAACGCGUAAGUUAUCUACCUCGGCAUCUGGAAUAACUCACCGAAAGGUGUGCUAAUACCGGAUACGUUGAGUAAUCAAGAAAGGUGGCCUCUGCAUAUGCUACCGUGCUGAGAUGAGCUUGCGUACCAUUAGCUAGUUGGUGGGGUAAUGGCCUACCAAGGCGACGAUGGUUAGCGGGUCUGAGAGGAUGAUCCGCCACACUGGAACUGGAACACGGACCAGACUCCUACGGGAGGCAGCAGUGAGGAAUAUUGCGCAAUGGGGGCAACCCUGACGCAGCGACGCCGCGUGGAUGAUGAAGGCCUUCGGGUCGUAAAAUCCUGUCAGGUGGAAAGAAAUGUUUAUGUGCUAAUACCAUGUAGACUUGACGGUACCACCGAAGGAAGCACCGGCUAACUCCGUGCCAGCCGCCGCGGUAAUAC